rnacentral:rRNA from 1 species
AUUGAACGCUGGCGGCAGGCCUAACACAUGCAAGUCGAACGGUAACAGCAAGCAGCUUGCUGCUUCGCUGACGAGUGGCGGACGGGUGAGUAAUGUCUUGGAAGCUGCCUGAUGGAGGGGGAUAACUACUGGAAACGGUAGCUAAUACCGCAUAAUGUCGCAAGACCAAUGAGCGGGACUUUCGGGCCUCUUGCCAUCGGAUGUGCCCCUAUGGGAUCAGCUUGUUGGUGGUGUAGUGGCUCACCAAGGCGACGAGCCGUAGCUGGUCCGAGGCGAUGACCCGCCAGACGGGAGCAGAGGCACGGUACAGACUCCUAGGGGAAGCAGCCGCGGGGAAUAUUGCGAGAUGGGCGAGAGGCUGAUGCAGCCAUGCCGCGGGUAUGAAGAAGGAGUUAGGGUUGUAGAGUACUGUAAGCGGGGGGGAAGGGAAUAAAGUUAAUCCCUUUGCACAUUGACGUUACCGGCAGAAGAAGCACCGGCUAACUCCGUG